AGCAAGUCAGUGAGGCGAGCUGCUUUGACAUUCCGGGGGAACCUCACCGAAUAAAUGGGUGCCCGUGAGCCAUUUCCUGCUCUGACUCAGUCCUCUGCACCAGACGUUUGGGAUAGGUCACCUGGGCCGCCGUGUCGCUGGCCUCCGUCCUCUGCCCGGACCAUGACGACCAAUCCCAGGUGGCUCCAUCAUGGCCUGGGCUCCCGUUUACACCUGGAAGGCAAACAGUACAUACAAUUAAAAGUCUACAUACAUGUUUGCGACGAUCCAAAAAUAAUUAAAUACAUAAAUAAAAAAUCUGAGAGA